rnacentral:rRNA from 1 species
CGUGGAGUGAUUUGUCUGGUUUAUUCCGAUAACGAGCGAGACUCUAACCUACUAAAUAGUUCGCCGAUUGUCAAACACUGUCGGCGUUAACUUCUUAGAGGGACAAGUGGCGUUUAGUCACACGAGAUUGAGCAAUAACAGGUCUGUGAUGCCCUUAGAUGUUCGGGGCCGCACGCGCGCUACACUGGCAAAAUCAACGUGCUUGUCCUUCCCCGAAAGGGGCGGGUAAACCAUUGAAAAUUUGCCGUGAUUGGGAUCGGAAAUUGCAAUUAUUUUCCGUGAACGAGGAAUUCCAAGUAAGUGCGAGUCAUCAGCUCGCGUUGAAUACGUCCCUGCCCUUUGUAC